rnacentral:rRNA from 1 species
GACGAACGCUGGCGGCGUGCCUAAUACAUGCAAGUAGAACGCUGAAGGAGGAGCUUGCUUCUCUGGAUGAGUUGCGAACGGGUGAGUAACGCGUAGGUAACCUGCCUGGUAGCGGGGGAUAACUAUUGGAAACGAUAGCUAAUACCGCAUAAGAGUAGAUGUUGCAUGACAUUUACUUAAAAGGUGCAAUUGCAUCACUACCAGAUGGACCUGCGUUGUAUUAGCUAGUUGGUGGGGUAACGGCUCACCAAGGCGACGAUACAUAGCCGACCUGAGAGGGUGAUCGGCCACACUGGGACUGAGACACGGCCCAGACUCCUACGGGAGGCAGCAGUAGGGAAUCUUCGGCAAUGGACGGAAGUCUGACCGAGCAACGCCGCGUGAGUGAAGAAGGUUUUCGGAUCGUAAAGCUCUGUUGUAAGAGAAGAACGAGUGUGAGAGUGGAAAGUUCACACUGUGACGGUAUCUUACCAGAAAGGGACGGCUAACUACGUGCCAGCAGCCGCGGUAAUACGUAGGUCCCGAGCGUUGUCCGGAUUUAUUGGGCGUAAAGCGAGCGCAGGCGGUUAGAUAAGUCUGAAGUUAAAGGCUGUGGCUUAACCAUAGUACGCCUUGGAAACUGUUUAACUUGAGUGCAAGAGGGGAGAGUGGAAUUCCAUGUGUAGCGGUGAAAUGCGUAGAUAUAUGGAGGAACACCGGUGGCGAAAGCGGCUCUCUGGCUUGUAACUGACGCUGAGGCUCGAAAGCGUGGGGAGCAAACAGG